GGGUGCAAUCAUACUGGUGUUAAUUUACCAGAUCCCAUCAAAACUCCACAAUUAAUCACACUUGGACUAGAGUAGUACUGGGACGGGUGACCGCUUGGGAAGUUUUAGUGUUGCAAGUU
rnacentral:rRNA from 1 species